UACGGAAGGCAGCAGUGGGGAAUAUUGCACAAUGGGCGCAAGCCUGAUGCAGCCAUGCCGCGUGUAUGAAAAAGGCCUUCGGGUUGUAAAGUACUUUCAGUCGUGAGGAAGGUGUUAAGGUUAAUAACCUUAGCAAUUGACGUUAGCGACAGAAGAAGCACCGGCUAACUCCGUGCCAGCAGCCGCGGUAAUACGGAGGGUGCGAGCGUUAAUCGGAAUUACUGGGCGUAAAGGGCACGCAGGCGGUUAAUUAAGUUGGAUGUGAAAUCCCCGGGCUUAACCUGGGAAUGGCAUUCAAGACUGGUUAGCUAGAGUCUUGUAGAGGGGGUAGAAUUCCAUGUGUAGCGGUGAAAUGCGUAGAGAUGUGGAGGAAUACCGGUGGGCGAAGGCGGCCCCUGGGACAAAGGACUGACGCUCAUGUGCGAAAGCGUGGGGAGCAAACAGGGAUUAGAUACC
rnacentral:rRNA from 1 species